UUUUUUUUUUUUAAUAGCAGCAUCUAUUUAAACCUGCUGAUGAGUUGAGGUUGAGUCAGGCUGACAUCUUCCACUGUAAAAUUAUUUCAGAUGUUGUUUUUACUCUUUGAUGUGACAUGUGGUUUAAUUCUGCUUCCUGUUCAGUAGACAGUCUUGCUGCUCUCAAAUGCACAUCAGAUACUGUACUUGAGAAGAGAAUCCUUUUAAUCUGCACCAACAGAGCAUAAACAACACAGAUGCAAACAGAUACACACAGUAAUAAAGACAAUCACAUUUCAUAGUGAGAUUUCCACCAGAUGUGUGUGUGCAUGACAAUUUUCACUUGUAGGAAACUAAAUUAUUCACUUGUGACACAUUUUGCACGUACACAGUAGGAUUCCAACAAUGGUUUCCAGGUGAGAAAUUUCACUUCUGUGUUGCAACGGUUUGAUUUACAGGAAAACACAAGCACAAAAUCGAGUCAACACUAACAGACACACAGGCAACGGUGAAACACUGAUGAAAAAAUUAUUUUGUUGAGCUGAUUUGAUCAUUUUAAAGUCAAUAGAACCCAAUCAAUCAUUUAUAUGCGUAUUACAUUGAAUUACAAGGCACAAUAACAGCAAAGUCUAGCUACUCAUCUGACACAUACAGCAGUUAAAAUGUCUUAAAUAAACUCUAAAAUCAUUGCUCUAAUGUCCUUAAUUGGGCUUAGCAGGAUGAUUUCGCAGCACAGACAAAAGAUUACAGAUCAUUUUCAUAGAUGUGAUGCUGAGGCUGGAGACUCGGAUCUGUUGUGCUCUGAGAUUUUCCUGUUCAGUGGAAAACAAGUUUUGCGUGCCAGAUGAGAUUUUAUCCUUUGAGCAGGAGGUCUGCAAGAGGACUGACCCAGUUACUGUAUGUAAACGUCCAAAACUCUCACCUUUACAUGCUCGCUUUGGUAUGAUCCAGAUAGAUAUCCCUAUGAUGACAAGCACCAUGAGCCCAACAGUGCGGUACACAAAUGGCCAGAAAAUGUCCACAGCUGCUGUGUUAACUGCAAAAUAAAAAAGGAAAUUUAGAAGGAAACCUCUUUUGGACACUUGUCUUAUAAACUGUAAGCCAUACAAGGCAUGUGAACCAGCAAUAACACAAUGAAAAGGACCAGCGUGUAGGAUUUAGUGGCAGAGGUUUCAGAUUGCAAGC
ensembl:lncRNA